rnacentral:lncRNA from 10 species
AAAGGGAGAGGGAAGUGAAGGAAGAAGAAAGGAAGUAAAAUUCAUGACUGCUGCCCUGGCUGUGAUGAAGUAACUGCCACAGUAAACAAUGAGAAAACUGGACAAAACAAAGGAGAAACUGUUUUAGGAUAUCAGGCAACAGGAAGCAGAGGAUUGUGACCCAAAGAGAAGGGAAACAAAUGAGUAGGCACUAUUAUCCUCACUGAAACCGAGAGACCCAGCAGAUAAAGAACUUGUCUACGGCUAUGCAGCCAGGGAUGAAAACGAAUCAAGUGACUGAAAGAGAAGAAAGUUUCAGAUGACAGGAGUGACGUGCAAAGGUACAGACGCUUGAGGAAGCAUGGUAGGUAGAUUUGAGGCUGCAAGCUUCUUUCCUUCCUUCACAGGCACAUUUCUUGAAAGGUAAUAUCUACCCCCUGCCUUCAUUUUCGUUUCCUUAUUAGUUCAAGAAAUAUUUACUGAGCUCCUUGGUGACUACCCAGUCUUUCCUUGAUGACCUGAAAUUUGACCCUGUCCCUUCUAUUCAACUUGCCAACAACCUUUUUACUGCUGUAAUAAGAGGCCAUUUUUUUAUAAUACUCAUUUUCUUCUGAUUAUAAAAGUAAAUUCAGAUUGUGGUGAUGGUAUACAAUUCUGUAAAUCUGUUAAAAAUCAUUGAACUGGACACAAAACAAGAAUGUCUCCAAAUGUAAAUUAUACUUCAAUAAAGAUGGGUUUUUUUAAGUAAAUAAAUGCUCAUUGUAGAAAAACCAAGAAAUAGAAAGAAAUACAUAUGGUGACUAUCUCCUGUAAUCUAUCACCGCAUGUAGCUAGUGAUUUUUCGGUGCAAUGUUUUUGCACAUUACCUGGAUAUUUCUGAAGUCUUAAACCUGAUAUUUUCUUCUACUCAGCCCUGCCCAGCUUGUCAUUCUACCUUCCCUGCCUCGUGGGAAAGUAUAGAAAAAGCAAAGGAGGUUGGGCACAGUAGCUCACGACUGUAAUCCCAGUGCUUUGGGAGGACGAGGCAGGUGGAUCACCUGAGGUCAG